rnacentral:rRNA from 1 species
UACGUAGGGGGCGAGCGUUGUCCGGAAUCAUUGGGCGUAAAGAGCGUGUAGGCGGCUUGGCAAGUCUGACGUGAAAGCCCGCGGCUCAACCGCGGAUUGUCGUUGGAAACUGCCUCGCUAGAGUCCGGAAGAGGAGAGCGGAAUUCCUGGUGUAGCGGUGGAAUGCGCAGAUAUCAGGAAGAACACCCGUGGCGAAGGCGGCUCUCUGGGACGGUACUGACGCUGAGGCACGAAAGCGUGGGGAGCAAACAGG